CAGGACCACCCAGUGCGAGGAAUAACCGGAGCUCUCUGCAACGCUGAAAGAAACUGGCCAGCAACCUAGCUUAAAGGAUCCUCACAUCUGCGGCGAUGACUCUGUGCACAGACCAAGGAAGGAGAAGCCGCCGGAGCCAGUAAAGUACUCCCUUGGUGGUCAAAUUCCGGAGGGCUAAAUGUGUGUGUGCAUGAAUGAUCACAAAUAACCCUACCUGCGGUGUUGUUCAUGUGGAUGGUGACAAGACCUACUGCUGGACAGAGUGAGUGGGACCUCUCCGCAGUUCCGUAGCUACCUCAUAUGGCUUAGGGCGGAUCCUGCCGUGGGAUUUAUACUGGCACACCGACACUAAGAGGGGCCUAAUUCUCCCUUGGGGGAGCAGCCAGAGAGGGCAACACAAGUGGGAAGUGUGCAAGGGACCUUGAGAGGGGGAAAGGGAGGAAACAGGUCAACCUCCCAGAGCAGCAAGGUGCUGCCUUUGGACUUUCCAGUGCCUCAGCAUCAGCCUGGGGAUCACGUUCUCAUCAAAGAGGGGAAAGAAGGGAAACUCGAGCCAGCCCGGGAAGGACCCUACCUUGUGCUGCUAACCACUGAGACUGCUGUUCGUAAGGUUGGAAAGAGAUGGACACAUCACACAUGAGUCAAGCAAGCACCAUUAUCCUCAGAAUCAUGGGCCAUUGUUCCUGGAUCAAGCCCUACCAAAUUAAAGCUAAGGAAAGCUUAGUCUAUCUAUCUUUUCCUUUCCCUUCCUUACCCAGUGCUUAUAUCCAUUACUAUUCCUACCACUAGCAACUCUAACCCCACU
rnacentral:lncRNA from 1 species